UUCCACUUGCAGGUGGUGCCACUGGCGCCGGGCUUCCUUGAGUUCUGCUUGAGCUGCCCUUAAAGCCUCUUCAUCUUUGUCCAUUUUUUUGCUCAGAUCUUCUUCCAGCUAGAAGAGAGCCAACAACAACAGUAACAAGGAAAGAAAGAGCUCUCUUGCAAGUGAGGCACUUAAGAGCAAUGAUAGAAAAAUAGCAUGGGAAUCGAAUCAUUAUUUUCUUUAAGUUGUUAGAUUACAAAUGUAUGUUUUAGUGCUUCGUUACUAAUCAUUUAAAUGUUGGAGCAAGUCCAUUGCACUCUCAGCCUCAGUUUUCUCAGGUGUAAAACGAACCUCAAAAGUCUCUUCCUACUAUGGCAGUCUGUGAAAUGCAGGAAAAAAAUACACCUAUUUUAAUAAAAAGUAACAGUUUACAGGACCUAAGUUUGAGACCUCUGAUUCUUAACUUUCCAGUAUUUAUGGCAUUAAUAAGGAAGAAGGAUUGAGAUUAGCUACUAUUUCCCCUCCCCCCCAUAUUUUCUUGUUGGUUGCUUUAUAAAAGCAGAUAAACUGUUAUAUACCCUAUAUUAAUCAAUUAUUGGACUGGGUACAUAGACAGGGAGUAAAUAUUGCUGGAAAGUGUAUUAUGAAUAAUUUAGAGAAUUAAGUUGUCAUAGACAUUAGAAACUCUAAAAUAGAUUUCGGUAUUAAGCUAACCCACUAUUGAUUUAUCUUUUUCAAUAUGAUCUUUUUAGAAGGCAUGCUAAUUUUGUUUAUCUGAGGUAGAAGCAAAAAAUGACUUCCUUCAAAAUUGUUUUCUAAAUGUCCUCAUAUUAAAUAACAAAUGGAUUAUUGUAUGGUUAGCUUUAAAUGUUCUUAUACUGAUGUUGAAAUUCAGUGAAAGGAUCUUUUGACAGAAUUCUGAACAUUUGGCCCCAUGAGCAGUAGGAGCAGUGUAUGAAGUUGGUUGUAAUAUUUUGAAGCAAAAGUUACAACCUUUUUAUGUUUUUAUAAAAAUGCAUUUUAAAAUUUAAAAAAUGUAAUAUGAUGGUACAACAGAUGUUUUAAAGGAGGAAACACUGCAGUACAUGAAAGUCUAUAAUGAAGUUUAGGGCAAAGUAUUAGAUAACAUUUAUAUGUUUCUUUUGAUUUGUUGUUCUCAGCGUUGUUGGCAAAAGCAAGCAGCAUCACAUAUCAGAGCAACUACAAAAGCAAGUGUUGAGAAUUUAAGAGAUAGGAGUACAUGAAAACGAUGGUAUUCAUUGGCCUUUUGCAUUUUGGAAUGGGCAGCGAAGCUUGGAUAGUAGCUAGAUUCUGAAGAUGGCCUGCAAUGAACCACCCGUCCCAAAAUGGAUGUCUUUGUGUGGUGGCCUUCCACAUUGAAUCUGGGCUGACCUAUGUCUUGCUUUAGCCCGUAGAAUGUGGCAGAAGUGUCAGUUUUAGGCCUAAGCCUUUAAGAAAUCCUGACAACUUGCACUUCUAUGCUUUUGGGAGCUUCUAUGCUUUUGGACCAGCAUGUAAGAAGUCUGCAUGCUCUGUUGGAGGGAUCAUAUAGAGAGGCCAGAUGGAGAGAGAUCCCGAGGCUACAUGGAGAGAGAGAAACAUUUGUCUCUGCUGAGCCAGCCUUUCAAAAUCCCAAGACGCCAGGUCCAUGAAUGAGCCACCUUGGAUGACCCAGCCCAGUUGUGCCCCAAGAUGAUUGCAGUCCCAGCCAAUGUCACGUCCAGCUGAAGUCACCCCCAGUGAACCUAGUCAAGCCACCGAAUCGUGAGAGGGAAUACAGUGACUUCUUUACUCUAAGUUUUGGGGUAGUUGUUAUAUAGUAAUAAGUAACUGAAAUAGCUCCCUAUUGUGUAAUAAUUAAACAGGCUUUCUUGAAUUUAUUUAAGCUGACUCUGAAUUCUUUGAAAACAAUCCUCUAAGGUAAAUAUGUUAAAACGACUAAACAAAAUGUACUGUAUGUAGUCUUGCUUUUUGGCUUUAGCUGAUGCAUUUCAGCAUUGUGACUUGUAAACUAAAUAACUUGUAUUUUUACUAAUGCAAAAAAAAGUGUUUAUUAGGUUUAUAAUUUUCAGAAAUUAUCAUUAAAAAUUAAUGGCCAUCCCCCCCCCCCUUUCUUUGUAAAAGGUGAAUGAACUAUUCCAACAGUUAAAUAUCCCAGUGACUCUGCUUAAUCCAGGAUACUGAUCAUUCUCUAUGAAGACUGACAAUGUUACCCAGAGAAUACGCUGCAUUGAAAAGGAAAUACUGUACCUCAGAGAGGCCGGGACAGGAAUUGGAUAGACAUGGAUUGUCUCCUUAUCCUGGAGGGUGUCUGUCUGUAUGAAAUCAUUACCUGGAUCCUUGUUGAGAGCACGGUCUCUAUCUGAUUUCUGAUGCAUACGGUGUGGCUCAUGUCGGGCUGCUGGCCUGACAGCGGGUUUGAUGUACUGGCGUGAAUUCCUGAAGGCACAUUACAGAUGAAACCACAGCGAGAGCUUAAAUGUCUCCACCUCCUGGGCUUGGUCAUUACUCUACUUUGAGACCAGCUUUGAUGUGCUCUCCAGUCAGCAAUAUCCUGAACUCAGCAUCAACAUGGUGGAGGGGCUGAGUCUGGAUAAUUUUGAACAAUUGAAAUAA